GAUGAAGAACGUAGCGAAAUGCGAUAAGUAAUGUGAAUUGCAGAAUUCAGUGAAUCAUCGAAUCUUUGAACGCACCUUGCGCCUUUUGGUAUUCCGAAAGGCAUGCCUGUUUGAGUGUCAUGAAACCUUCAACCCCCGGGUUUCCGGGUGGCUUGGAUUUGGGCGUUGCCGUCUGGCUCGCCUUAAAAGACUUAGUGGGAUAAGCCAUUGCUCGACGUAAUAAGUUUCGUCUGGUCUUGUGCCGACUCUUGCUCACAACAAACCAUAUUUUGUGCUCUGACCUCAAAUCAGGUAGGACUACCCGCUGAACUUAAGCAUAUCAAUAAGCGGAGGA
rnacentral:misc_RNA from 1 species